rnacentral:misc_RNA from 1 species
AAGUCGUAACAAGGUUUCCGUAGGUGAACCUGCGGAAGGAUCAUUAAAGAGCAAGGGUCUCCGGCCCGAACCUCCAACCCUCUGUCGUUAUAACUACUUCGUUGCUUUGGCGGGACCGCGAAGGUUCUCCCGAGCGCGCCGGUCUCCGGACAGGCGAGCGCCCGCCAGGGUCUAACCAAACUCUUGUUUUUAAACCAGUCGUCUGAGUAUAAAAUUUUUAUUAAAUUAAAAC